rnacentral:rRNA from 1 species
UACGGAGGGUGCAAGCGUUAUCCGGAUUCACUGGGUUUAAAGGGUGCGUAGGCGGGUAUAUAAGUCAGUGGUGAAAGCUCCGGGCUUAACUUGGAAAUUGCCAUUGAUACUGUAUAUCUUGAAUAUCGUAGAGGUUAGCGGAAUGUUGCAUGUAGCGGUGAAAUUCGUAGAUAUUCGGAAGAACACCAGUGGCGAAGGCGACUUACUGGACACAUAUUGACGCUGAGGUGCGAAAGCGUGGGGAGCAAACAGG